CACAUUCAGGGAAACCUAAGUUUAAAAUAUGAGGUAAUCCUGAGCCAAACUUCAAUUAUGAAAUAGGUGCAGAGACUCGAAGGAAACUAUCCUAACGAAAAGUUUUUUCUCAAUUUUUUAUUAUUGAGUAUUCGAAAUAAUAAAGACAUUUGAACACUAAAACAUUAAUUAAUAUUGGUUUUUAAAUAACUUAUAAUAGACGAGGAUAAAGAUAGAGUCCUUUUUUACAAUCUAUAUAAUUUUAUAAUUUUCCUUUAUAGAUAAUUGUAAAAAGAAAAUCCGUUGGCUUUAAUAGACCUUGAGGGUUCAAGUCCCUCUACCCCCA
rnacentral:tRNA from 1 species